GCCCGAGCGGCCGCUGCCUGUAGCGGAGGGUCCCGGGCAGCCCGGGGUUGAGGCUGCGUGCGGCCCGGCCCACGCCGCCUGGAUGGGUCCUGCUCGGCUGCCCGGGCCGCGGCAGCCUCUUCCCCUUCCCAGAGCGUGUUUCCGAGCACACGCACGGCUUGGCGGCCGGUUCUCUUCCGGUAACAGUGCUAAGAGCCCAGACGACCGAAUCCAGCCACAAGGAAAUCCUGUGCCCAGCCAUGUGCUGUGUGGUGUCCACAUAAUUAGGAGAUGAGGUCCCUGGCCUCAGAAUUUGCCACCUUGUUUUGGGACUAAGACCCACCCAGACGGAACUAGCAAUACCAGACAACAUAAAAUUAAACCGACUUCCAGAGGCAGGCGUUCUAUGCAAAAUCCUCGUAAAACACCAUUCAAAGCUCUGAUAUGUAGACAUUUCUUAAUGGAGGGACACCUGCGCUUCACCGUGGGACCGUGCCGGAGAGAGCGAAUGGAAUCAAGUCUGGGGGUCAGAACAGAGACUUCUGUAGCCCACAGGUGGCCGUGUGAUGUGUGUGCCUUUAUCAGUGACACGGAUAGAAGGGAAUACACAGAAUAAACUGGAGCAACAUUGGAGGAAAGCCUCAGAAAGAUUUUUUUCAAAGCAGUCAGGAGGCCGGAGGGCUAAUGUUGACUCUGCUCUUCACCGAUUAGCUGCAUGACCUCAGGCCUCAGUUUCUUUCUCUGUGCUAUGACAGUGUGGGCCACAAACGGUCCUGUUAGCUCUCAGAAGGAGGAAGGAGAAGGGUGGUGGCUAACGAGAGGCUGCAUGUGGAGCACCUCACACCGAGUCGUGGUUCAGCCAUUACCCGGGGAGGCUUUUGGCAUGUGGAAUCCGCAAAUGCCACUUUGACAUGGCUUUUGGACAGAUGUUGCCCCCUGCCUUCCACGGUACCUACCAAGGGCACUUGGACCUCUGACCAGGUUGUGAGGACAAGGUCCCCUGAGCCAUCUGUGCCCCUGUGAGGGUGGCAAGAGUUUUCAAGAAGACGUAUCCAAGAAGAAAGUUCUCUAGCUGCAUAGAAGGUGUCAAAGCCACAGGCUCUGGGAAGAUUGCUAGAGAGAACUUACUGGAACACUGAACAUAGUUCUCCCAAGUGUCAUCUGUAAGGCAGGCAUUUUUUUUUUUUUUUUUUUAGAAUGCUGAUUCUAGGGACGCCUGGGUGGCUCAGCAGUUGAACAUCUGUCUUCAGCUCAGGUUGUGACCCUGGG